rnacentral:tRNA from 1 species
CAAAAUGUAGCUUAACUAAAGCCUCUCGCUUACACCGAGAAAACGUCUGUGCAACCCGGAUCAUUUUGA